AAAAAGUAUUAGAAAAAAAUUUUUUGACUAGGAAGACAUGAUAAGAAACCUGAAUGAAUCUAUGUAGGGCUACAUUUGUCAACUAUCUGCCCAGAUCCUCAAACCUCUGCACAAAAGUACACUUUAAGGAAUAUAUAAUAGUAAUUUUUGUGAACUAUUAGCCAUUACUGGAGGUCAAUUUCUUUCAAUUCAUUUAAACAAACAUUUCCUAAGUUCCUACUCUGAAAAAGACAUUGAAGGAUAUUGGUGAAAGACAGGAAGAUUCCCUAUCAUCAAGUAACUUGUCUAAUAAUAGGGUUUGAAAGACUGCAGUGAGAACUACUUCAAAGGCAAAUUAAAAAAUAUUAAAAUGUUAGCUAGUACAGGUUACAAAGUCAUAGUUAUUAUAGUGGUCCUUGUACCUAGCAUAGUGUGAGAUAUGGGGCAGGAGGAAUUUCUAAAACCAAGUAUUAUUAAAGAAUAAUAAAGAUAUACCACUUUAAGGCAAAAUUAGAAAGAAAAAAGGAGGGGGUAAAAACUGAGCCUUUUACUCCUCCUUUGAAUCCUUUAGUACAGCAGCUUAUCCAAAACCUGGUGACUGUGAUAUGUUAAAAGAGCUAUGAGGUGGAGCAAAGCAGUAGCAAAUUAAUGUCCUUGAGGAUUUUUUUUUUUUUUUUUGGUCUUGACUAGUUAAGUAGAUCCUGGGGAAGAUGGAUUGAACUUUCCACAGAUGAUCUGUUCUGUGCUCCUUAUCCUGAAAAAGGAAUGUAACAGCAUGAAUCUUGAAAGAGCCUGGUUUGAGAACCACUGGAUUAGGAAAAUGAAGCUACCUCUUCACUGACAUAGAAAAGAGAAAAAGUAAAAUGCAGGUAAGUUAAAGAUGUUGAAACCCAGGCAUAAUACGGGGUGGGGGACUUGCAGGGUAC
rnacentral:lncRNA from 12 species